rnacentral:rRNA from 1 species
UUGAUCCUGGCUCAGGAUGAACGCUAGCGGCAGGCUUAACACAUGCAAGUCGAGGGGUAUAGUAGCAAUACUUGAGACCGGCGCACGGGUGCGUAACGCGUAUGCAAUCUACCUUUUACAGAGGGAUAGCCCAGAGAAAUUUGGAUUAAUACCUCAUAGUAUUAUAGAAUGGCAUCAUUUUAUAAUUAAAGUCACAACGGUAAAAGAUGAGCAUGCGUCCCAUUAGCUAGUUGGUAAGGUAACGGCUUACCAAGGCUACGAUGGGUAGGGGUCCUGAGAGGGAGAUCCCCCACACUGGUACUGAGACACGGACCAGACUCCUACGGGAGGCAGCAGUGAGGAAUAUUGGACAAUGGGCGCAAGCCUGAUCCAGCCAUGCCGCGUGCAGGAUGACGGUCCUAUGGAUUGUAAACUGCUUUUAUACGAGAAGAAACACUGCUUCGUGAAGCAGCUUGACGGUAUCGUAAGAAUAAGGAUCGGCUAACUCCGUGCCAGCAGCCGCGGUAAU